rnacentral:rRNA from 1 species
UACGUAGGGUCCGAGCGUUGUCCGGAAUUACUGGGCGUAAAGAGCUCGUAGGUGGUUUGUCGCGUUGUUCGUGAAAACUCACAGCUCAACUGUGGGCGUGCGGGCGAUACGGGCAGACUUGAGUACUGCAGGGGAGACUGGAAUUCCUGGUGUAGCGGUGAAAUGCGCAGAUAUCAGGAGGAACACCUAUGGCGAAGGCAGCUCGCUGGGACGGUACUGACGCUGAGGAGCGAAAGCGUGGGGAGCGAACAGG